GGGUAUAUAGCUCAAAUGGUAGAGCAUUGGACUUUUAAUCCACAGGUUUUGGGUUCAAAUCCCGAUUUACCCA
rnacentral:tRNA from 1 species